GAAACGGCCCUCUUUAGGGCCACCACAUACUUGUUAUGACCAAGUU
rfam:Trichobilharzia regenti genome assembly, scaffold: TRE_scaffold0043592